GUGGCAGCAGCCGCGGUAAAACCAGCACCUCAAGUGGUCAGGAGGAUUAUUGGGCCUAAAGCAUCCGUAGCCGGCUAUGUUAGUUCUCGGUUAAAUCCAUGUGCUCAACACAUGGGCUGCCGAGAAUACUGUAUAGCUAGGGAGUGGGAGAGGUAGACGGUACUCGGUAGGAAGGGGUAAAAUCCUUUGAUCUAUCGAUGACCACCAGUGGCGGAGGCGGUCUACCAGAACACGUCCGACGGUGAGGGAUGAAAGCUGGGGGAGCAAACCGGAUUAGAUACCCGGGUAGUCCCAGCUGUAAACUAUGCAAACUCAGUGAUGCAUUGGCUUGUGGCCAAUGCAGUGCCGCAGAGAAGUCGUUAAGUUUGCCGCCUGGGAAGUACGUACGCAAGUGUGAAACUUAAAGGAAUUGGCGGGGGAGCACCACAAGGGGUGAAGCCUGCGGUUCAAUUGGAGUCAACGCCAGAAAUCUUACCCGGAGAGACAGCAGAAUGAAGGUCAAGCUGAAGACUUUACCAGACAAGCUGAGAAGUGGUGCAUGGCCGUCGCCAGCUCGUGCCGUGAGAUGUCCUGUUAAGUCAGGUAACGAGCGAGAUCCCUGCCUCUAGUUGCCACCAUUACUCUCAGGAGUAGUGGGGCGAAUUAGCGGGACUGCCGCAGUUAAUGCGGAGGAAGGAGGGGGCCACGGCAGGUCAGUAUGCCCUGAAACUCUGGGGCCACACGCGGGCUGCAAUGGUAGUUACAGUGAGUUCCUAAUCCGAAAGGAGGAGGUAAUCUUCAAACGCUACCACAGUUAUGAUUGAGGGCUGCAACUCGCCCUCAUGAAUAUGGAAUCCCUAGUAACUGCGUGUCAUUACCGCGCGGUGAAUACGUCCCUGCUCCUUGCACACACCGCCCGUC
rnacentral:rRNA from 1 species